CCUUAAACAACCACUGUGGAAAGGUCAUCCAGGUGGAAGGGUCACAAGAAUUCAAGUGACUGGACGAAGACUGCCAUAAAGAGCUGCCUUUCAUCUGCCAAGAUCUGAAUGGAAAGGCCUCGCCAUAAUCACUUCACUUCUCGAGACCAAGAUCCAUCAUGACGACUGCAUGGGGCUCUGGAAACUACAAGAGUCACUCCACUAUUCUUCUUGAUAUUAUGUUUGAAUCAAUAUUGGUGUUGUGGGCUACUGAUUUUUGCAUUGACUGUUCAUUGCACUUGUACUGACUUUCUAAUAACUGACUGAUUUGCUUUCUGUGGGAAAUAUUUACUCAUAUUUUACUCAACUGAAUGUAUCAAUAAUCAGUGUAUAAUCAGAAUCAAGAAACACAUAAUCAUUGUUAAUCAUGUUUUGUUGUUACCCUAGUUAGGAGCUAAAAAUGAUGGUGUAUGCCUUCACCAUCUGUGCUCAAGUUGAUGUGUUUGCACUCAGGUGAUGUCAUGAUGUUCUGAGUUUAAGAGACAAUGGUGGCAGAAGUAGAGCGUAGUGAUCGGAGGGCUCUGCCAACAAGGCCUACAAUGGGAGGGGAAUGUGAACAGCAUGAAAGUGAAUGUAAUAUUGAAACAACUGAGUCUGCUCCAGGGUCCAGCUCAGUGUGUGUGUGUGUGUGUGUGUGUGUGUGUGUGUGUGUAAUCUUUAAAGACUCACAGUUAAUCUAUUUCACUUUGAACUCUGAUGGACUGCAUUUUAUUUACUGGUAAAGUGUGGGUAAAGAUCUAAUGAAACAAGCCUGAAGAAGGAUUUUUAUUCCACAUUUCUUUCCCUGUAAAACCAAUAUUGUGAUUUAUUUA